rnacentral:rRNA from 1 species
UACGUAGGCAGCAAGCGUUGUUCGGAGUUACUGGGCGUAAAGGGUGCGUAGGCGGUCCUAUAAGUAUGGUGUGAAAUCUCCCGGCUUAACUGGGAGGGUGCGCUAUAGACUGUGGGACUAGAGUGUGGGAGAGGAAAGUGGAAUUCCUGGUGUAGCGGUGAAAUGCGUAGAUAUCAGGAGGAACACCGGUGGUGUAAACGGCUUUCUGGACCAUAACUGACGCUGAGGCACGAAAGCGUGGGUAGCAAACAGA